UACGUAGGUGGCAAGCGUUGUCCGGAAUUAUUGGGCGUAAAGCGCGCGCAGGCGGUCCUUUAAGUCUGAUGUGAAAGCCCACGGCUCAACCGUGGAGGGUCAUUGGAAACUGGGGGGACUUGAGUGCAGGAGAGAAGAGUGGAAUUCCACGUGUAGCGGUGAAAUGCGUAGAGAUGUGGAGGAACACCAGUGGCGAAGGCGACUCUUUGGCCUGUAACUGACGCUGGGGCGCGAAAGCGUGGGGAGCAAACAGGG
rnacentral:rRNA from 1 species